UCUUUCUUACGAAAGCAGUUUCGUCUGACACGUAUAACAGACAAUAGGGGUUGCGCUCGUUAAUCCACUGAAGGAUACCACUCACGUGACGAGCUGACGACAGCCGUGCAGCACCUGUCCAAGAGUCUUGCGAGGUCCCUAGUUUCUUAGGGAUUUCACUUGGAUUUCAAGCCCUGGUGAGGUUUCUCGGUUAGAGUCGAAUUGAACCACAUGAUCCACCGCUUGUGCAAAUUCCCGGCUAUUUCUUUGAGUUUUAGCCUUGCGGCCGUACUUCCCAGGCGGCACACUUAACGCGUUAGCUACGCCACUGGGAGGGUCGAUGCUCCCAAUAGCUAGUGUGCAAAGUUUAGGGCGUGGACUA
rnacentral:misc_RNA from 1 species